rnacentral:rRNA from 1 species
AUGAACGCUAGCUACAGGCUUAACACAUGCAAGUCGAGGGGCAGCAUGGUCUUAGCUUGCUAAGGCCGAUGGCGACCGGCGCACGGGUGAGUAACACGUAUCCAACCUGCCGUCUACUCUUGGACAGCCUUCUGAAAGGAAGAUUAAUACAAGAUGGCAUCAUGAGUCCGCAUGUUCACAUGAUUAAAGGUAUUCCGGUAGACGAUGGGGAUGCGUUCCAUUAGAUAGUAGGCGGGGUAACGGCCCACCUAGUCUUCGAUGGGUAGGGGUUCUGAGAGGAAGGUCCCCCACAUUGGAACUGAGACACGGUCCAAACUCCUACGGGAGGCAGCAGUGAGGAAUAUUGGUCAAUGGGCGAGAGCCUGAACCAGCCAAGUAGCGUGAAGGAUGACUGCCCUAUGGGUUGUAAACUUCUUUUAUAAAGGAAUAAAGUCGGGUAUGGAUACCCGUUUGCAUGUACUUUAUGAAUAAGGAUCGGCUAACUCCGUGCCAGCAGCCGCGGUAAUACGGAGGAUCCGAGCGUUAUCCGGAUUUAUUGGGUUUAAAGGGAGCGUAGAUGGAUGUUUAAGUCAGUUGUGAAAGUUUGCGGCUCAACCGUAAAAUUGCAGUUGAUACUGGAUAUCUUGAGUGCAGUUGAGGCAGGCGGAAUUCGUGGUGUAGCGGUGAAAUGCUUAGAUAUCACGAAGAACUCCGAUUGCGAAGGCAGCCUGCUAAGCUGCAACUGACAUUGAGGCUCGAAAGUGUGGGUAUCAAACAGGAUUAGAUACCCUGGUAGUCCACACGGUAAACGAUGAAUACUCGCUGUUUGCGAUAUACAGCAAGCGGCCAAGCGAAAGCGUUAAGUAUUCCACCUGGGGAGUACGCCGGCAACGGUGAAACUCAAAGGAAUUGACGGGGGCCCGCACAAGCAGCGGAGCAUGUGGUUUAAUUCGAAGCAACGCGAAGAACCUUACCAAGUCUUGACAUCCUUCUGACCGGUACUUAACCGUACCUUCUCUUCGGAGCAGGAGUGACAGGUGGUGCAUGGUUGUCGUCAGCUCGUGCCGUGAGGUGUCGGCUUAAGUGCCAUAACGAGCGCAACCCUUGUUGUCAGUUACUAACAGGUUCCGCUGAGGACUCUGACAAGACUGCCAUCGUAAGAUGUGAGGAAGGUGGGGAUGACGUCAAAUCAGCACGGCCCUUACGUCCGGGGCUACACACGUGUUACAAUGGGGGGUACAGAGGGCCGCUACCACGCGAGUGGAUGCCAAUCCCCAAAACCUCUCUCAGUUCGGACUGGAGUCUGCAACCCGACUCCACGAAGCUGGAUUCGCUAGUAAUCGCGCAUCAGCCACGGCGCGGUGAAUACGUUCCCGGGCCUUGUACACACCGCCCGUCAAGCCAUGGGAGCCGGGGGUACCUGAAGUGCGUAACCGCGAGGAGCGCCCUAGGGUAAAACUGGUGACUGGGGCU